rnacentral:rRNA from 1 species
GACGAACGCUGGCGGCGUGCUUAACACAUGCAAGUCGAGCGGAGCGGCGCACGGGUGAGUAACGCGUAGUAACCUGCCCACCUCUCUGGGAUAACAGUUGGAAACGGCUCCUAAUACCGGUAUGUGGGGGAUGGACUCGCGUCCUAUCAGCUAGUUGGUGGGGUAAAGGCCUACCAAGGCGACGAUCCGUAACUGGGUUGAGAGGAUGAUCAGUCACACUGGAACUGAGACACGGUCCAGACUCCUACGGGAGGCAGCAGUGGGGAAUAGUGGACAAUGGUCGAAAGCCUGAUCCAGCCAUGCCGCGUGUGUGAAGAAGGUCGUCGGAUUGUAAAGCUCUUUAAGGUGGGAGGCGUUACCAACAGAAGAAGCACCGGCUAACUUCGUGCCAGCCGCCGCGGUAAUAC